rnacentral:sRNA from 1 species
UAUGCGAACUAUUUACGUGUGUGCGUGA